rnacentral:rRNA from 1 species
CCUACGAGGUGCAGCAGUCGAGAAUCAUUCACAAUGGGGGAAACCCUGAUGGUGCGACGCCGCGUGGGGGAAUGAAGGUCUUCGGAUUGUAAACUCCGGUAAUGUGGGAGCAAAUUAAAAAGAUAGUCCCACAAGAGGAAGAGACGGCUAACUCUGUGCCAGCUGCGGCAGUAAUACAGAGGUCUCAAGCGUUGUUCGGAAUCACUGGGCGUAAGGCGUGCGUCGGCUGUUUCGUAAGUCGUGUGUGAAGGGCGGGGUCCCAACCCGCGGACUGCACAUGAUACUGCGAGACUAGAGUAAUGGAGAGGGAACCGGAAUUCCUGGUGUAGCAGUGAAAUGCGUAGAUA